UACGGAGGGUGCGAGCGUUGUCCGGAAUCAUUGGGCGUAAAGGGCGCGUAGGUGGCCCGGUCAGUUCGUGGUGAAAGCGCGGGGCUCAACCCUGCGUCGGCCAUGAAUACUGCCGCGGCUGGAGCACUGUAGAGGCAGGCGGAAUUCCGGGUGUAGCGGUGGAAUGCGUAGAGAUCCGGAAGAACACCGGUGGCGAAGGCGGCAUCCUGGACCGAGAUUGACGCUGAUGAGCGAAAGCUAGGGGAGCAAACGGG
rnacentral:rRNA from 1 species